rnacentral:lncRNA from 12 species
GAGCCCGACACCGGGGAGCCCCCGGCGGAGGCCCGUCCGCCCGGAGCCCCGCUCGCGGAGCCGCCCUGGGUUUGUCGGCCGCGGGGCGAGGACCGGCGGGCUGGGGCGGCGGGGAGGGGGCCCUCUGUCUCCCCCGUUUCUCUAAAAUGGCGCUAACGUGGGCAGGGACCCGCCGGGGGUGUCGUCAAAUUGAUCUCCGAGUACGAAGCAGCCUGCGGCUCCGGCUCCGCGCGCCGCGGGGCCCGGUCAUCCAUCGGCCGCGGGGCAGUGCCCGGGCCUGCGAGGGCGAGGGCCCAGAGGAAGAGAGUGAAGCAAGCCCAUCUCUCUUGGCCAGGACCAUUCUGUCGCAAGUCGGCUCAGCAGCCCAGAAUAGCCUCUAUCAUGCUCUUCAGUCAAUGACGGCUUUAUUGUUGAGAUUCCUUGGGCAGAGGAGCUGGGAAGGCCUGGUGCUCCAGGAAGCCAGGCCCCAGGUGCCCUGCUGGCCUCCCAGGGAGCUAAGGGCUGCUGGCCUCAGAACCUUCCCACCCACCCCUACUCACUGA